UACAAUUGGCUUAAUAGCUUUAAUGUAUCAGAUCCCAUUUGAUCUUGGAAGCUAAGCAAUGUUAGCUUUGAUUAGUAUUUGGUUGGGAGACCAUUACAGAAUACCAGGUCCUGUAGGUU
rnacentral:rRNA from 1 species